rnacentral:sRNA from 1 species
CUUUUGCGUUAGUGAUAGUAGCGGUAUCCUUUUUAUGUUUUGUAAAAAGAUUUAGCGAAUAGCACGACCUCAA